CUAGCUNNNUNNNNUCAUAGAUNUGUCAUUUAUGAUAAGGUAAGAGAAAAUAAUGAUAUUAUCUUACUAUUAGUGUCGUCUAAAACUGGUGCCAGAAGACUCGGUAAGACCAGAGACGCAAACGUUAGUCAUCAUAAUCAGGCGUAAAGGGUUUGUAGGCGGCUUUAAAUAAUAUAGUUUAAUAAAAUAGCUAUAAAAAAUAUUUUAUUUUUUUUUUACAAAUUAUAUUAUAAUUAAAGCUAGAAUCUAAUAGAGGGUGAGCUGAACAACAUUUUAAUUAGGAUUAACAACUGAACAAAUAAUUUAGAGUACUAAAGGUUAAAGCUAUUUAUCCACUAAAGAUUGACGCUCAGAAACGAAGGAGAGGAUCGAAAACAAGAUUAGAGACCUAAUUAUCCCUCUCAGUCAACGAUGAAUGGCAGUUGCUAAUUUAAAUAAUAUAUUAUAUAUAUUAAAUAUAUUUAUUAUAUAAUUUAUUAUCAAUUUUAUAUUAGUGACGAGGUUAACACGAUAACCAUUCCGCCUUGUGAGUAAGACUGCAAAGUUGAAAANNAAAAAAUUAGU
rnacentral:rRNA from 1 species